rnacentral:rRNA from 1 species
GAAAGCUUGCUUUCUUGCUGACGAGUGGCGGACGGGUGAGUAAUGCUUGGGAAUCUGGCUUACGGAGGGGGAUAACUGCGGGAAACUGCAGCUAAUACCGCGUAAUAUCUUAGGAUUAAAGGGGGCGUUUGCUCUUGCCGUGAGAUGAGCCCAAGUGGGAUUAGGUAGUUGGUGAGGUAAUGGCUCACCAAGCCUGCGAUCUCUAGCUGGUCUGAGAGGAUGGCCAGCCACACCGGGACUGAGACACGGCCCGGACUCCUACGGGAGGCAGCAGUGGGGAAUAUUGCGCAAUGGGGGGAACCCUGACGCAGCCAUGCCGCGUGAAUGAAGAAGGCCUUCGGGUUGUAAAGUUCUUUCGGUGACGAGGAAGGUACUUAGGUUAAUACCCUAAGUAAUUGACGUUAAUCACAGAAGAAGCACCGGCUAACUCCGUGCCAGCAGCCGCGGUAAUACGGAGGGUGCGAGCGUUAAUCGGAAUAACUGGGCGUAAAGGGCACGCAGGCGGAUUUUUAAGUGAGGUGUGAAAGCCCCGGGCUUAACCUGGGAAUUGCAUUUCAGACUGGGAAUCUAGAGUACUUUAGGGAGGGGUAGAAUUCCACGUGUAGCGGUGAAAUGCGUAGAGAUGUGGAGGAAUACCGAAGGCGAAGGCAGCCC